rnacentral:rRNA from 1 species
CCUACGGGUGGCAGCAGUGAGGAAUAUUGGUCAAUGGGCGAGAGCCUGAACCAGCCAAGUCGCGUGAGGGAGUACUGCCCUAUGGGUUGUAAACCUCUUUUGUCGGGGAGCAAAAGCCGGACGUGUCCGGCUGUGAGAGUACCCGAAGAAAAAGCAUCGGCUAACUCCGUGCCAGCAGCCGCGGUAAUACGGAGGAUGCGGGCGUUAUCCGGAUUUAUUGGGUUUAAAGGGUGCGCAGGCGGAUUGUUAAGUCAGCGGUCAAAGCGUGGGGCUCAACCCCAUCCAGCCGUUGAAACUGGGGGUCUAGAGUGGGCGAGAGGUAUGCGGAAUGCGGGGUGUAGCGGUGAAAUGCAUAGAUAUCACGCAGAACCCCGAUUGCGAAGGCAGCAUACCGGUGCACAACUGACGCUCAGGCACGAAAGCGUGGGUAUCGAACAGGAUUAGAUACCCCUGUAGUC